rnacentral:misc_RNA from 1 species
GAUGAAGAACGCAGCGAAAUGCGAUAAUUAAUGUGAAUUGCAGAAUUCCGUGAAUCAUCGAGUCUUUGAACGCACAUUGCGCCUCAUGGCAUUCCGUGAGGCAUGCCCAUCUCGGCGUUAGAAAAUAUUCUCAAAUUUUAGUUUUGUGCUAAAAUUUGGAUCAUGUCAAGGAAGCUAUUACUAUUAUUGUGAUCGCUCUUUGGAAAUUGAUAGGUCUUUGAGUUGCUACUCAUAGAACGUGAUGAAUCUUUCUUCGUUCUAUUGUAAUUCACUCUGGUAGUCCUAAAACUUGUAUGCCUGUGGCAUAUCUUGUAAUUUGACCUGAGAUUGGGUAGGGAUACCCGCUGAACUUAAGCAUAUCAAUAAGCGGAGGA